GAAGGAGUAGUGGAUCCGCGGCGGCACUGGGAUGGGUUUCAAAACCCUAGCAGAGAGUUUAAGUCUUUUAUUUUUUUUUAUUUUUUUAUCUUUGUUGAUGCAAAUGUUUUUUUUAACAGAAAUUUAGCUUAAAAGCGUGAUGUGAAACGGCGCCGUUUAAAGGCCUGUGACCCGCGCGGUGACUCGACCCGAGGGAAGGAUUCGCGCGUUUUGGGUCUGAUGGUCUAUUUGCG
rnacentral:lncRNA from 1 species